UAGGGAAUCUUCGGCAAUGGACGGAAGUCUGACCGAGCAACGCCGCGUGAGUGAAGAAGGUUUUCGGAUCGUAAAGCUCUGUUGUAAGAGAAGAACGAGUGUGAGAGUGGAAAGUUCACACUGUGACGGUAUCUUACCAGAAAGGGACGGCUAACUACGUGCCAGCAGCCGCGGUAAUACGUAGGUCCCGAACGUUGUCCGGAUUUAUUGGGCGUAAAGCGAGCGCAGGCGGUUAGAUAAGUCUGAAGUUAAAGGCUGUGGCUUAACCAUAGUAGGCUUUGGAAACUGUUUAACUUGAGUGCAAGAGGGGAGAGUGGAAUUCCAUGUGUAGCGGUGAAAUGCGUAGAUAUAUGGAGGAACACCGGUGGCGAAAGCGGCUCUCUGGCUUGUAACUGACGCUGAGGCUCGAAAGCGUGGGGAGCAAACAGGAUUAGAUACCCUGGUAGUCCACGCUGUAAACGAUGAGUGCUAGGUGUUAGACCCUUUCCGGGGUUUAGUGCCGUAGCUAACGCAUUAAGCACUCCGCCUGGGGAGUACGACCGCAAGGUUG
rnacentral:rRNA from 1 species